AGUGAACGCUGGCGGUAGGCCUAACACAUGCAAGGCGAACGGCAGCACAGGAGAGCGUGCUCUCUGGGGGGCGAGUGGCGGAGGGGUGAGGAAGAAAGCGGAAUCUGCCAAGGUGUGGGGGAGAAUGUAGGGAAACGGACGCUAAUACCGCAUAAGACAGUAGGGUGAAAGAGGGGGAUCGCAAGACCUCUCGUGAUUGGAGGAGCCGAUGUCGGAUUAGCUAGUUGGAGGGGUAAUGGCCCACCAAGGCGACGAUCCGUAGCUGGUCUGAGAGGAUGAUACGCCCCACUGGACCUGCGACACGGUCCAGCCUCCUACGGGCCGACGCAGUGGUGACUCUUGGACAAUGGGCGCGCUCCUGCUCCCGCCCUACCGCGUGGGUGAAGCAUCCCUUCUGCUUGUACAGCCCUUUUGUUGGGACACAAAUCUUUCAGGCUAAUACCCUGGGAGGCUGACGGUACCCAAAGAAUACGCACCGGCUAACUUCGUG
rnacentral:rRNA from 1 species